AAGGGUAUAGCUCAAAUGGUAGAGCGUAUGCUUAGCAUGCAUGAGGUCCUGGGUUCAAUCCCCAGGACCUCCA
rfam:Camelus ferus unplaced genomic scaffold scaffold2349, whole genome shotgun sequence.